GAACGAAUACUGAGGCAUCCGGUGGCAAGGAGUGAGGGUCUCCCCUGUAGGAAGCGUACAAAGAAGGAUCUAACAUUUAUGGAGUGGUUGCAAGGUGGGUGUGUAGCCUGUGGGUUGGACCAAUGUGGUCAAGAAAGUCCUGCAAAUGGGCAGUCAGAGGCUAUGGUGCCUCAGGGCCUGUUGGCAGCACCAGAGGCCAAGCUGUUAAAAAUGGAAACUUGAGUUUCUCAAGCCCCUCAUUUCACGGCAUAUUAUUGCUAGCGACCUGCUGGACUCUUCCUCGGUUCACGGAUUGAUUUUCCUUUAUCCCCUAUUUCUGCUCCUGUAAUGCACCCUUCUAUACCUGAAACAAUUCUGGUGGAUCUUUUUGUUUGAAUGUAUUUUUCAAAAAUGAAA